CCUACGGGAGGCAGCAGUGAGGAAUAUUGGUCAAUGGACGAGAGUCUGAACCAGCCAAGUAGCGUGAAGGAUGACUGCCCUAUGGGUUGUAAACUUCUUUUAUAUGGGAAUAAAAUGUUCCACGUGUGGGAUUUUGUAUGUACCAUAUGAAUAAGGAUCGGCUAACUCCGUGCCAGCAGCCGCGGUAAUACGGAGGAUCCGAGCGUUAUCCGGAUUUAUUGGGUUUAAAGGGAGCGUAGGUGGAUUGUUAAGUCAGUUGUGAAAGUUUGCGGCUCAACCGUAAAAUUGCAGUUGAAACUGGCAGUCGUGAGUACAGUAGAGGUGGGCGGAAUUCGUGGUGUAGCGGUGAAAUGCUUAGAUAUCACGAAGAACUCCGAUUGCGAAGGCAGCUCACUGGACUGCAACCGACACUGAGGCUCGAAAGUGUGGGUAUCAAACAGGAUUAGAUACCCUAGUAGUC
rnacentral:rRNA from 1 species